AUCUUGGAUAGGCCCUUGAAGAGCAGUAGGUCAACUAGAAGUGCUCAGCUGAAGUGCUGAGGGGUUCAGAGCCAAGCCCAAGGGUAAUCUUCCAUUAAGCUUGGCCCCACUAUCAUCCUUCCCGCUGAACUGUUUCCUCCUCUGGACUUUACAUGAAUGACCACACACCCAUCCCAGAGAGCAGUGUCACCCCAGAACUCCUCAUCAGCUCCCACAUCACAGAUCCUUCUCCCUCC
rnacentral:lncRNA from 1 species